rnacentral:lncRNA from 1 species
GCCUUCACGGCCCAGUGUAUCCUGUUCCCGGUCCUCGCACCAGCCCUGAGGUGCGUGUAUCCAGUCUGGCGUAUCCAAAGCCAGCCCCACGCACCAGGCCUCCAGUGCGUCAGCCCAGUCCAACUCGUCCUGUUCCUACUCCUCGCACUAGCCUUGGGAUGCGUGUAUCCAGUCUGGUACCUCCACUACCAGCCCCACGCAUCAGGCUUUCAGUGCGCAGUCCCCGUCCAGAGCUUCCAACGACAGUACCCCGUUCAGAGCUUCCGGCAAUAGUGCCUCGUCCAGAGCUUCCGGAAAUAGUGCCUCGUCCAGAGCUUCCGGCAACAGUGCCCCGUCCAGAGCUUCCGGCGACAGUGCCCCGUCCAGAGUGUCCGGCGACAGUGCCCCAUCUAGAGAUGGCCCACAGUCCGGAACCGAGAGAGACGGCCCACAGUCUGGAACUGAGUGAGACGGCCCACAGUCCGGAACCAAGUGAGACGGCCCACAGUCCGGAACCGAGUGAGACGGCCUACAGUCUGGAACCGAGUGAGACGGCCUACAGUCCGGAACCGGCGCAGCCAGAGUCACCCUACAGUCCGGAGCUCCCAGAGUCGCCCUACAGUCCGGAGCUCCCAGAGUUGCCCUUCUGCACGAGGUCUACAGUGACGUGCUUCAGCCCGAGGUCUACAGCGAUGCGCUUCAGCCUGAGGUAUUCAGCGGGGGUGGACAGGUUAGGUGAUGGACUAAGGCCAGAGCCUGAGCCACCUCCACAGUAGGAGGAUUGGGGAGGGGGGGUGUAGCACGGGAACCGUCGGUGACGGCAGCCACCCUCCCUUCCCUCCCUUUAGUUUGGGGGGUUGAUUUUUGUGUUUAUUUUUUGUGUGAGGUGCAUCCGGGGUCUGCACCUUUGGGUGGGGGUACUGUAACGUCCUGACCAGUAAAGGGGUUAUUUGUUAUUGUACUUUGGUCAGGAUGUGGCAGGGCGGUGUUUGUUUUA